GGCAAUUCCAUCAGGCCUGUGGGCCAAAGCAUGGGAUGUCAAACCCCUAAAAAUCUGUGAAAUUAGGACCUGGUUUGUAAGAGAGGUUUCCAAAACUCAAAAUAAUGGCCAGAAAUCAUACAUUAUAAUAAAUGCUAAGUUUGUGUGCUAAAGUAAACAUGAAGUCGUUCCUUUCCCCUGUCAAACUUAAGUCCACUCUGCUUAAGUAACAUUAUCAGUGAGGAAAAAAAUUAUUUUGGGGGUGAGAGUGGGAUGGGGAAUAAACCAGCUCAUGGGGAGUGACAGCGUGGACAAAGAGGGAGAAGUCUGGGGAUGUAUGACUCUCAGCUCCCUUAUUCUACUUACAGAAAGUCCUCUUGUGCUUUGUUUCUCAAAGAACUGUUUUGAUUAAGAAAGGACAAUGUAAAUUUAGGAGGAAGAUUAUGAAAUAGAAAUAAAAUUGAGUAAGGAAAGCUUAAAAUAAAUAUAAAGUGGUAUAUAUUCUCAAUAGAACAGUCUGACCAUAUCUAUUAAUAUAUAAAUGACCCUAAUGCCUUCCCUGCGAACCAAUAAUGUCAUUCUUAGAAUGCUAAGGAAAUCAAUCAUGAUUGCCCAAAAAUAUUUACAUAAAAGUGCUUUUUGGGUCAGGGAGAUAGCUCAGUGGGUAAAAAGUGUUACUAUGCAAGACUGGAGAUUUGAGCUUCACUGCAGAACCCCUAGUAAGAGCUGGAUUUGACAGCAGUCACCUGUAAUCCCAUCAGUCCUGUGGUAAGAUAGAAGGCAGACAAAGGAGAAUCACUAGGAAACUCUUGGGCUGGUGAGCCUGAAGUAAGGCUGUGUGAAAACUGACUCCUGAAUGUUAUCCUCUGACCUCCACCCGUGUACUAUGGGGUAGCAUUUGCACAUCAAACACACACACACACACAACACACAUGCUAUAAAAAUAAAAACAAAGAAAAGUUAAAGAGAAAACAAAAAAUUAAAAUCUUUCAUUGUAGUAUGAGCUAGGGAAGUGACAAACUAUGUGCAACCUGAAAGUCUAAUGACAGAGGAUUCCUUAAGAAACUCAGUGCAUUCUUAUGAUGGGAUUCCACAAGGACAUGAAAGUGCUGUGGAAGAGAACCUUGAUGAACAAUGCUAAAAAUCAGGCUGGGCUGUAGCUCAGAGGUGGAACACUUACCUGACACAGGUAAGGCCCUGAGUCCAUGCAUAGUACACCAAAGGAAAAAAGGUGAUAAAAAUCAAAGCAACUUAUGAAACUUUCUAUUUAAAAAAUGACUGUCUAUGGAAUAGCUAACAUUGACCAUCUCCGGUUAACGUAAUUACAAGUGACUGCAUAUUUUUUUGUUAUUUAUUUUCUAAACUCUACUGUGAACUUGACUUGUUUGCCUUUUCCUGUGUUUUAAUCUUUUUUAGAUUUAUCUAUGUGAUUUUCUAUUUAUGGAAUGUUUUGUUUAUGUAUUUGAAUGGGCACGAUGUGAAUGCCUGGUGCCCACGGAAAUUGGAAGAAGGUCUGAUCCCCUGGAAUUAUGGCUGGCUGUGAGCUUCCAUGCGGGUGUGGGAAUUGAGCAAAUCCCCUAAACCAGCAAGCAAUCUCUCCAGCCCUUUUUCCAAGUUUCAAAUACAGAUCCACUUUGGAACCUGGGGUAAACAAAUCAAAACAGCAGAGAGAAUGACAGCAAUGGCACCUGGAGCAAGUGCAUCCCCUCCAAGCAAGUGCAUCCCUCCAAGCAAAGUGCAUCCUCUCCAUCCCCUCAAAAGUGCAUCUCUCCAAGCAAGCAUCCUCUGCCUUUACUGGGCUGUGCUGAGAACAGUCACUUGGAGGAUGCAAGUAGGGAAGGGUUGGUGAUAGCAAAUGAGUGCCCUGACACUCACACCAAACAUGCUUGCUCCCUGCUCUCUGGGAAAUCCUUAGACCCCUAUGGAAGUGACACAGCAGCUGUGGACUCUCAUUUCUUCUGAAAGCCCAGAACAAAAAGCCUCUGGCCAGGAAACAGCUGGUGCAGGAUGCCAUCCUGGGUUUGCAAUGAUGGGACUUGAAAUAUUUUGUUGGGAAAAGACAUGGGCCAGGCCUGCCUGGAACUCCCAUUGUUCUCAGCCUGCAGUUAGACCCUUAUACAAAGGGUCAUAGUGAUUCACAUGGAAAUGGUUUUUCCCCCUAACUUAAUUUUCUGUUCCCUGGGGGUAUGGAAACACCAUCACACAGCACAACACAACACCAUAUAGGAAUGAAAGAAAUAAUUGCUGAUUAAUACCCCAUGAUAUAAAUAUCAGAGGCAAAUCAACUUUCAGUGGCUUAAAAAUGGACAACUCUUACAAUAAUACAAAAGAUUUGGGCUCCUUUCCACCAUGAAGUGUUUAUUUGUUUAUUUGAGACAGUGUCUUACUAUGUAGACCAGGCUACAGUGAAAGUUGCAACCACCUCUCUCAACCUUCCAGUUGCUGGGAUUAUAGGAGUGUCCCACUGUGCCCAGCCAUUAAGGAGGGUGGAUUUUUUGUUGUUGUUGUUGUUGUUGUUGUUGUUGUUUAAACAUAGAAUUGUUAACAAUGAAAAUGCACCUUCUAUGGAUUUUUAAUAUUAUUUCUGUAUAACUUUCUGUUCCCUUUCAGCCCUAAAAAUCUAAACAAUAUUUUCUUGGUGUUCUAUGGCUUCCAUUUAUCCUUAAAACCAUUUUUAAAAAAAUCAUCAUUCAAGACAAUGUACUCAGUCUCAAGGCAUAAUUAACUAGAAAGCAAAGUUUUAAAAUGUAGAAAAGAUGAUCUGAACAGACAUUUAUUCCACCAAGAGACACACAAACCAUGAAAGGGCACAUGCAGAGCUCAAGGGCACUAGUUAUGAGAGAUGCUAAGGAAAACCACAGUGAGAUGCCAUCCAUGGGGGAAAAUAAAAGGACAGAUAACACCAAGUGUUGGUUAGGCAGAGAGAGCCAGAGGAACUUUCACAUAGUGCAAGCAGAAAUGCAAAGGGGUGGGGUUGUUUAGUAAAACAGCAGGGCAAACUCUACUACAGACUUCUUUUCUGUGUACAUGCUGUGUGACCUAGGAAGCUCAGCCUGUGUUUUCCCUCCAGAGAAAAGAAAGUAUCUGUAUGCAAAGGUUACAGACGCUUUCUUUUACUAACCAAAUGCCUAUUAACAGAUGUGUAAACAAAAUGUGAUAUAUCUAUACAAUGACAAAUAUAUUCAUCAGUAAAAAGAAACAUAAUACAUGUAACAGAUAGAUAAAUACUGUAUACAUUAUGAUAAAUGACUAAAGCCAGAUUCAAAAGGCUUCAGAUUGUACGUUCCAUUUAAUCAGUCUUCUGAAAGGGCUGAAAUGGAAAACCCAUAGCUGCAAGGGAAGCAGUAGUGGGUGGUGGAGGGGGUGGAGAUGUGCCUUGGGUUGUGACA
ensembl:lncRNA